CAGGGAGGACGACCUCCCCCCAUCAGGGGCAUCUGAUCCGGGACGACCCGG
rnacentral:ncRNA from 1 species